AACAUAACCCACAAACACAUAGAGCUCUUAUCACUCUCUUGCUGAAAGCAUGAAACUGAGAAAGCAUAGAAAUCUCACAGAGCUCAUGGAAAUCUCAUAGAGCUCGACGAUCAUGGAGAUCUCAUAGAGCUCGACGAUCAUCGAUUAGGUAUGUAAUCGCACAGCUCCGAUUAGGCACGAGUUGAUAUCGGUUUUGUGACUCUUCAUCGUUGUGUUUCUCAGCUCCGAUUAGGUUGUAGCACAGAAAGCGAAGGAAGCUGAAAUCACUGAGCAGGACUCACUUCUUCUGUCAGCUCUUCCUCCUGAGCAGCUAGCUUGGUGUGGGUUAGACAAUGUGUUACUUUUAAUCUAAUACUCGUUUGGAGAUUCCAUGAAUCUAGUGCGGUCAUGUGCUUUGAUAAAGGGGCAAGAGAUCAAGAUGAGAUACAAUAUAGUAUUUUUAAUUUCUUAUCCUUUAUGGUAUCUUUACAAUUAUAACUAACAUAUGUUGUGUGAAUAAUAUUUAACAGUGUGACAAUUACUCGUUCACAGAUAGAAACUUCAAUUCCUCGAAAACAUGGACCUGCUAUUGCUGGUUAUGAGUCGGCUUUCUUGAAGCAUGUUGAUUUUGAUGUUGUCCGCUGUGCUGUGAUUGCAAGUCCUGGUUUCACAAAGGAUCAGUUUCUUCGUCACUGAUUGUUGGAGGCAGAAAGAAGACAGCUGAGACCUAUUAUCGAGAACAAGUCACGAAUAGUUCUUGUGUAUACAACAUCAGGAUACAAGUGGCUUUGCUAUUAAUUUGGGUUGCUGAUAUAAGGAAACAUGUGAAGAAUUUAGAAUUUGGGAAGGGACACGUAUAUAAAGCUGUGCAUGUAACCGAUUUUUAUUUCCUUUCAUUACGUUUGGCCUUAUAUAGGAUGUAUUAGGAUUUGUUCUGUUCACCUACUGCCAUGUCAGAUUGUGCAAAGAACCUUGUUUUUACAAUUUAAAACUCUUGCCCCUGUUGACUAUUGAAUUAGAUCAUAUAAAUAUUGAUAAGGUUAAUCUGACUUUUGGUA